rnacentral:rRNA from 1 species
UACGUAGGGUCCGAGCGUUGUCCGGAAUUAUUGGGCGUAAAGAGCUUGUAGGCGGUUUGUCGCGUCUGCUGUGAAAAUCCGGGGCUCAACCCCGGACUUGCAGUGGGUACGGGCAGACUAGAGUGUGGUAGGGGAGACUGGAAUUCCUGGUGUAGCGGUGGAAUGCGCAGAUAUCAGGAGGAACACCGAUGGCGAAGGCAGGGCUCUGGGCCGGUACUGACGCUGAGAAGCGAAAGCAUGGGGAGCAAACAGG